GCAUCAUCAGUACCAGCAAGGACACACAUACAGCCACAAAGCAAGACCUAGGAGAAAUAUUUGGUGCUCUACUCUCCUAGGGAACUGGAAGGAACCUGCUCUCUCCUGGGUAUACUUUUCUAAUUUUAGAGUGCUAAAGAAGCUCUUCUCACAGGGACCCGAGUGAAUCCUUUCUCCUUGGAACAAAGGACAAGAAAAAAAGAAAGGACUUUACCGCAGAAAUGAUGAAGAUCAUGUCUCCAAGUCUUUUCUGCCGUUGCCAGUAUUCUCUCCCAAUCUCCUGUGGGCAACUUCUUCGGGAAAACACUCAUGCAAUUUCAUAAGGACAAGCGAAAAUAUGAAGAAGCUGGAUCUUGGAACUAGGCUUUGAUCACAGAGCGGAGCUGAGAUGAAAGUCCAUCCACUCAUUCAACAAAUAAUUGAGUACUUACAAAAAUUUCUGCUGUAUGGAGCUUAUAUAGUAGUGAAUAUCAAUUCUUAUUUUAUGGAUUAUAAAACAGAACUUUUUGCAACAAUUUUACACUACCCUAGGGGUACCUAUGAGUCUUCAUGCCUCAAGUAAUUGUCCUGUCCAUGUGACUAUGGAAGCCCUGAAAUCUUUGAAACCCCAGAUGACCCAUUUCACCAGACGCUUGGACAUUCUCCGUCGAGUUUGGAUUUAUAGUGGGUACCCAGAUUUAGGUCAAGGACAUAAAAUCUGAACCACUUUAGGCACUGCUCAUAAGGAGUAAAUUCCUAGUGAAAAAGCAAUGUCCCUCAGGAAUGAUUGCUAUAGCAGGCUAAAAGAUGCCACAUUUUGUUGGAACUCAGAGUUAUGAGUGGCCCUCGCCAUACCUACACUUUCUGACUGAGCUCCUCUCUACCCUGAAUACAAGAGACCCUAAUAGGCAGGAAUAUCAUCACCCCUCUUCAGCCUGAAGAUGUUACAGAAGAUGGAUAUUUGUCCGUUUACAACCCUUAAGAUUAAGGGUUCCCCUGUAAAAGGGAGGGGGAAAAUAUGUCAGAGAUGUUUGAACCAGAGCAACUUCGUCCUGAAUAGUGGCUCGGUAAAGUGAGGCUGACACCUAUGGACUGCAUUCCCAGGAGGUUAGGCAUUCUUAGUUACGGGAUGAAAUAGGAGUUUGGCACAAGAUGGGUCAUAAAGACCUUGCUGAUAAAAGGAUGUGGUACAGAAGCUGGCCAAAACUCACCAAAAUCAAGAUGUGAUGAAAGUGACUUCUGGUAGUCCUCACUCCUCAUUACACUAAUUAUAAUGCAUUAGCAUGCUAAAAGACACGUUCACCAGCACCAUUAUGGUUUACAAAUGCCAUGGCAAUAUCAGCAAGUUACCCUAUAUGGUCUUAAAAGGGGAGGAACCCUCAGUUCUGGGAAUUGCCCACCACUUUCCCAGGAAACUCAUGAAUAAUCCACCCUUUAUUUAGCAAAUAAUCAAGAAAUAACUAUAAGUAUAAUCAGUUGAGCAGCCCAUGCCACUGCUCUGCCUGUGGAAUAGCCACUCUUUUAUUCCUUUACUUUUUUAAUAAACUUGUUUUCACUUUAC
rnacentral:lncRNA from 10 species